rnacentral:rRNA from 1 species
AUUGAACGCUGGCGGCAGGCCUAACACAUGCAAGUCGACCGAGUGGCGGACGGGUGAGUAAUGUCUGGGCAACUGCCUGAUGGAGGGGGAUAACUACUGGAAACGGUAGCUAAUCCCGCAUACCAUCGGAUGUGCCCAGAUGGGAUUCGCUAGUAGGUGGGGUAAAGGCUCACCAAGGCGACGCUCCCUAGCUGGUAUGAGAGGAUGACCAGCCACACUGGAACUGGGACCCGGUCCAGACUCCUACGGGAUGCAGCAGUGGGGAAUAUUUCACAAUGGUCGAAAGCCUGAUGCAGCCAUGCCGCGUGGUUGAAGAAGGCCUUCGGGUUGUAAAGUACUUUCAGCGGGGAGGCGUUACCCGCAGAAGAAGCACCGGCUAACUCCGUGCCAGCAGCCGCGGUAAUAC